UUAAAAAUGGUACUGUGGAAGCAUAAAGAUCACUAAGGGCUUUUCGGUUGAAGCUUGGUUAGGUUAACAAACAAGGGUCAUUUCUAAGGCCAUUGAAACGAAAGUGCCGAUGCAAAAGAGACAUUCACAGUAUUAUUCACACUACUCGACUUUGUUUCAUUUGUUUCUUAUUUGAAACCUUCACAACACAAAUUCCACAACUCAAUUUUUAUUUUUCACUAUUUUUCUUCCAAGCAAGCACUCAUUUUCAUUUUUUUCUAUUUUGUUCUUUUCUUUCACAUCAAAUAUACAAACAGAUGUUUCUUUUCUAUAUUUUUUAUACAUAUAUUUUUCUACGCUUGCUCGGUUUUUCUUUUCUUUUUCAAGAGUUGUGGUACUUACCAAUUUUUUUUCGUUCUCCCCAACUUAUU
rnacentral:lncRNA from 1 species